GCAGUGGUGGUUCAGUGGUAGAAUCCUCACCUUCCAUGAGGGAGACCCGGGUUCAAUCCCCGGCCAAGGCA
rnacentral:tRNA from 1 species